rnacentral:rRNA from 1 species
UACGUAGGUGGCAAGCGUUGUCCGGAUUUACUGGGCGUAAAGAGCGCGCAGGCGGUCGAUCAAGUCGCGUGUGAAAGCCCCCGGCUCAACUGGGGAGGGUCACGCGAUACUGAUCGACUCGAAGGCAGGAGAGGGUAGUGGAAUUCCCGGUGUAGUGGUGAAAUGCGUAGAUAUCGGGAGGAACACCAGUGGCGAAGGCGACUACCUGGCCUGUUUCUUGACGCUGAGGCGCGGAAGCUAGGGGAGCAAACGGU